UCGAGAAUCUUCCGCAAUGCGCGCAAGCGUGACGGAGCGACGCCGCGUGGGUGACGAAGGCCUUCGGGUUGUAAAGCCCUGUUAGCUAUUAUGAAUCGCGGGUGGCGAAUACCCAUCCCGUCUGACGUAAGUAGCAGAGGAAGCACCGGCUAACUACGUGCCAGCAGCCGCGGUAAUACGUAGGGUGCAAACGUUGUUCGGAAUCACUGGGCAUAAAGAGCGCGUAGGCGGUCCAAUAAGUCAAGUGUGAAAGCCCCCGGCUUAACCGAGGAAUGGCACUUGAUACUGUUGGGCUUGAGUGCAGGAGGGGAGAGCGGAAUUCCUGGUGGAGCGGUGAAAUGCGUAGAUAUCAGGAGGAACGCCAGUGGCGAAAGCGGCUCUCUGGCCUGCAACUGACGCUGAGGCGCGAAAGCUAGGGGAGCAAACGGGAUUAGAUACCCCCGUAGUCC
rnacentral:rRNA from 1 species